UCCAAGUAAACAACUGCACAGUACUGACCCAACCACUGCAGGACAAUGAGACUAUUUUCAGGUUUUGUUCUUUUCUCCUUGUUGUUAUUCUAUGUCACGGCUGUUAACUUUGAAAG